CAAAAGCUACGAAUCUGACUCAUGUGCGCUUGCUUGACUAAAGCCACAGCCAACCAAAAUCUCAAUCGAAAAUCGCUGCGAAUGCGAAUACACAAGCAAAGCGAUGAGUGCUUACAAAAUAAAAGCCGGUGCUUCCAAUACUCCCAGUCGCUUAGCAGUUGAGAUUCCAGACUCCAAGCUGUUCAUGCGGGCAAUAUUCAGCUUUCGCUUCAGCUUUCCGCCCACGGAUUCCCAGACGGCAUAGAGUCGCUGACAGACGGUACACUCGGCCGAAGAG